CAUGUACUCCCUCCGUCUCAAAAUUCAUGUCUUAGACUUGUCUAAAUACGGAUGUAUCUAACAUUAAAACAUAACUAGAUACAUCUGUAUUUUGACAAAUUUAAGACAAGAAUUUUGAGACGGAAGGAGUAGUUU
rfam:Triticum aestivum genome assembly, contig: Triticum_aestivum_CS42_TGACv1_scaffold_178941_2DS